GUGCCCUUGGUGUACGGUAACACAUGUCUUACAUCUACUUUGUCGCGGGGAGGGAUUCGAGGCGAGUCCGGGGUUCGAGUCCCCGAGGGUGCA